rnacentral:SRP_RNA from 15 species
CUGGAGGCAGGUGGCAGGCACAGGGUGGAGCUCCUGGGCGAGUCGCAGUUGCUGGAGACGCGCCUCACGAAGGAGGGCCGGUACCGCGGCAAGCAGCAGCAGCUGGAGGCCAGAGGCGCUGGCGCGCUCUCGAGGCUGCGGAACUUCAGGCUGGGGCAACGGAGCAAGG